GGCUCGGGAUCGAGGGCCGCGGGGCGGGAGGGGUGACCGGGUCUGGAGGGGACAGUGCUUUCACGUUUGGGAAAGGGGCGGGGAGCUGAAGCGAUGAGGUAAUUUUAGCGGUGACCGGUAGGUCCUCGCGCGCCUUCCCGGGUCCCUGCAUCUAGUUGGAGGGGACAGAGCGACAGCGGGGUGCAACUCAGGGACCCUGGAGGACUCUCCGAGGGCUGUCGAGCGGCAAGUCGGAGCCCAUGAAAUACCCCAAGUGGGAGAGGAGGUGGGCCAAUUCUGAUCCCGACGUUCCCUUCGUCCUGGGCGCGCCGACAAGCGUCUAAGAGGGUUGACUCCGAUCUUCACGCAUGUUAACCCUCAAACCGGUUUAGCCUCAGCGUUCCGGAAGCCAGCCCACCGAGCCGCGGGGAUUGCCUUGGCGUGCAACUCAGGAAAGUUUUAAGGGUCCCCCUGUCUGCACGUGCACCCUCACCUUUCCUGCCUACGAAAGCUGGUGACCUCCCUGCUCUCCUUUCUCUUUCUGCAGGUCCGGAAAUCUGCUUUGGGUAUGGAACUACCCAGCUUUACCCUGGGUAGACGAUCCGCGCACUCCUCUCGCCGCUAAUUCGGGAUCAUUAAUUUCAUCGGAAAUGAGGCAACCAGUGUAGGAGAUAGAAAAAGCAAACCGAGCAUCAGAUGGCAGUUCUCGUGAAUCCGCGCUGGAGAACUUCCUCUGGACUCAAAUUUAAGUGCGGUUCUCGACUCCUCGCCACCCCGUCCCUCCGUGGGUACCACCGCCAGGAGUUAGCUGGAAGGGAAGGACUCUUCUUUGGAGGGGUGGUACCUGGCCAACAGGUGUGGCACCUGGAGGAAGAGAAGGCACAACCAUGCUAAAGGGAGCUCAGUGCGGCGUUCUCCUGGCUGCAGAUAAUUCUGGAAGACCGGAUCCAGCUCAAGCACCAACACUUCUGCGAAGGCUUCCCUGAUUAUCACAAGAGUUUGCAGCUCUGCCCAAUGUAGGCCACUGUGACCAGAACUCAGGUGUAGGAUCUGAAAGUAACCUGGCCACACAAAAAAGUAUAAAACACUACCACCUCUUCACAGACUCACUCCACUUUAUAUUUGAGGGAAACGAUCCUGGAAGCGGAAAUACUUCGAGAGUUCAACAGUCUGGGAAAUUUAAAGGAGGGGGAAAAAAAGCCCUGCAUUUCCAAAGAUCUGAAGACAGAACUCUGCUCUCUGAGGACAGCAGGAAGUAAGAAGACCCGAUUCGUGGCUUCAGGAGAGGAAAAGAAAAGAGCCCCACAAGGAAACUACCAACAGAUGGGAAAUCCAGGUGAGAGAAGCCCUACCCUGGAGCAUCUCCGGAAAACUCAUACAAACCAACAAGAGAGGCAACUUGGUAUAUCUGUCAAGGCCAAAGAACUCUGAUACUAGCUCUUCACACCACUACCAGGCAAAGAACUCUGAUACUAGCUCUUCACACCACUACCAGGCAAGUAAGAACUUUCUUGCUCCCCUCUCCUUAUCUUCCUCCCAGUAUUCUAACUGCAGAGAAGUGUGCAGUCACCUUCUGAGAACUGCAAGGGGCAGGGAUCAGAAAAGAAAGGGCACAUGGGUUGCUCUCCUAACCCAGUUGUAGCUCUUUGUAGGAGGCUGAGAUGGGGAUGGGAGAAACCUGUUGACGUUUUUACUGUGAUAUGAAUCCAGACACGUUAAUUACUGACCAAAGGAUAUACUGCCUGGAAGUGACUAGAAGAAUGAAAAUUUGAUCUAAAUUUCACCCAAAAGCAGAGAAAGUGCUAACUCUGUGGAAUAAAUUUGAAGUGUUGCUUUAUGAUUGAUUACAUCCUAUGAGUCACACUUGUUCAAUGUAUCAGUUACAUAACCAUUUCUAAAUGCAAUUGAAUGGAGUUCUUAUAGAACCUUCUGUAGUGUUUUCCCCUACGAAGUCACUGUGUUUCUGUCUGAAAUUUGGAAAAUUAUAUGUCAAAUUGUCCUCACAGAGAAUUCUGUCCUUUUUACUCUAUUGUUUAUCAGCACUUAUGAAAUUUCUAAACUGAAAAGCAUUAUAUGCUUGGUACAGAUUAGGUGCUCAAUAAAUGUUGAAUUAAUAAAGAAAUGAAUGGGUAGUGAAGAGAAACCCUGAUUGCCUGGGUUCUUUAUAAACCCAGGCUAUCCUCAGAUUUCUUUAUGGUAGAGUAAGAAAUAUCCCAGGUUGGUGAUUUCUGAGACAUUCCAACCAGACACUUAUGGUCUCCUUACAUGGAAUUAUAAAACAUUAGCAUUAGAAGGAAACUUAGGAGGUGAUUUAGCCCAACCCUUUCAUUUUACAGAUGAAGGCCCAAAGAAGCGAAAUAAUUUGAUUAAGGUCACCUUUUUCUAUAGUAUCAGUGCUAGGCCUGGAGACUCUGACAGCUGACUCAUUGAUAGUGACAUUCCUUGGUUUCUGGGCUUCUUGCUAGCUUGGCUUUGGUGGAGUGAUAGCUUAUGUUCUCUUGUUAGUUUUUUCAUCAAUAAAAACAGAAGUUGCACCUAAGAAGCAAACAUGAAACAUCUACUUGUGCUCAGAAUUGCACCUGUACUUGGAAUAGAGUGAGGAGUUAGGACCAGCUACUGCCCUCAAGGAGCUUAUAGCCAAGUGGGGGAGACCGACAAGUAAAACACAACUAUAACGAAGUGGGCUAAGUGCUAUGAAAGAAAGAAUCACAGUGAGCUACUUAGAUAAAGCACCUCAUCCAGCCUAAGGGUCAUGGAGGGCUUAUUAGAGGAGGUGACAUCUGAGUUGAGUCCCGAGAAUGAGGAAAUGUUAAUAAUCAUGGUGUGUCUAGCAAACCCUAAGUAUUGUACUAUGGAGGUAUCACUGAGUACAAGGGGGUGGGAAGAGAGACGGGUCAGAUAGAUAAGCAGGAGCCCAAACAUGGAGGGAUUUCCAUGCUAUAGUAAGAUGUGUAGACUUUAUAGAAAGUCUAUCAAAAAUGACUGAAGUAUUUUUUGCAGGGGACUUAUGAGGCCUGAUUUCUGCCUCAGAUAUAACAGUCCAGCUACAGAAUGGGGAACAGCUUUGAGGGGGAUAAUGUAGGCAGAGAGUCCAGCUGGGAAACUAUUGAAAUAAUCUAGGUAAGAAAAAAUGGCAGUAGAGAUGGAAAAGGCAAAAGAAUUUAAGAGCAAUGUGCUAUGGACUGACUUGUGUACCCCUCUUCCCCUAAAGCCCAAUGUGAUGGUAUUUGGAGAUGGGGACUUUGGGAGAUAAUUAGGUUUAGAUGAGGUCAUGAGGGUGCCCCCCUCCAUGAUGGGAUUAGUGCCCUUAUAAGAAGAAACACCAGAAAGCUUGCAUUCUCUCUUCACCAUGUGAGGGCAAAUUAAGAAGGCAGUCCUCUACAAGCCUGGAAGAGAGUCCUCACCAGAAACUGAACAUGCUUUGAUUUUGGACUUCUAACCUUCAGAACUGUGGGAAAAUAAAUUUCUGUGUUUAAGCUAGCUGGUCUGUGGUAUUUUGUUAUGGCAGCCCAAGCUGAGUAAUACACAAAGGAAGUUGAAUGAAGGAUGCGGUGAUGUAUUAGAUGUAGGGAAUAAGGAUAGUGAGGUGCCAAGGGUCGGAUGAGUGUCCAGACUUACUGUGUAAAGAGAGAAGCCUAAGAAAGGGAACACUGGCAGAGAAAGGGGAAACUUGGUAGAGACCAAAGACAGUAGCCAGAGAGAUUAAGGGAAAACAGAAGAGGCCAAGAGAAGGGAAGUUUUUUUUUUUAAAAAAAGAUAAUGUUCAAUUGUGCAAAUAUUAUAAAGAUGUCAAGUAAGGUAAGGUUGAAAGGUAUCCGCUGGCUUCAGUGAUAAAUGCCUUUGGAGACAUUGGCAAGAAUUAUUUCAACAUUGUGAGGGCAGAUAUGAUACCACAGUUGAUUGAGGAGAGAAUGAGAUGUCAGGAAGUAUAGACAGCUAAUAUAGAAAGCACAUUUAAGAAUGCUUGCUUUGAAAUGGGGAAGAGAAGUGGAUAGGUAAUGAGAAGGGAAGGAAGCAAGGGGGAUUAUUUUAAUGAUAUAAGAUAAGCUUUUUAGGAGGGAUGACGUUGAGGACAUACUAGAAGAGAGGCAAUAAUUGAUGAGCAAGGUUACUGAGUGUGCAGGCCAUGAUGGGCUACAUAGCUCAGAUGCCGAGACUGGCUUUAGAAGGAGGGGCUUCAUCCUCCAUCAUGGGAGAGAAGUAAGAAUGAAUGCAGAUGUGUGCAAGAUUGUAGGUGCAGAGUCAGUCCUACCUGAUGGCUUCCAUUUUCUCCAUGAGGUAGCAGGUGAGAGUGAGGUAGGUGGUGAGAUGUUAGGAAAGGGGAUGGAGGAGGUGGCUUCAGUUACUUGUGUGAGGAAUGGGAGAGAGAAACAGAGGGCUGACGAUAAACACAGUAGGCAUGGCUGGCAGCAUGGAGGCAAUUGGAAAUUUUAUACCAUGGAAUUUUGGUGCACCAAUUCCCUCCACUGUGCAAUUUUUCUUCUUCAUACUUAGCUGCCUAAACAUAGAAGGAGGCCGAGAAUUAGGCUGUUACAAAGUUUGGGUUUUGCCAGUGAAUGAGAAUGAAGGACAAUGGGAAGGAAGUUGAGGAGGUCAAGGAAAUAAAAAGUUAGGAGCUCAGAGGAUUUCUACUUCUAGGGAUAUGGAGUAGACAUAUUUUCCCCAUUCUUCCUGCUACGUAUAAGUAAAAAAUCCUGGAUGUUAUAUACAAAACAAAUGUAGAAAGACUGAAAGGUGAAGCAAAGAAAGCAGACCAGCUAGGGAUCUUGAGAGUGGGGAGAUGACACAGUGGUGAGUUCCCUGGGUUUUCCUUUCGCCUCAUAUAUUGCAGACUCAGAGUGGAAGAAGGUGGCAAUCCACAAACACAGACAAAAAGGGCCCCAACAAAGGUCUGCUUUCUCUAAGGACAGGAAAAAGGCAGUCUAGAAAGAUAGAAAACUUUUAGACAAUAAGAGCUUUACCAGCAUCAAACAUUACAGAAAAAAAACCAACCCCACCUUCACCAGCAAAGGCUGAAUUGGGGGCCUAGACUUCCACAAUCACCAGGCUGUAACAAGACAUCCUAACCCCUUUGCUGGAAUUUCAUCCUUGCUGGGUGGUAGUUCCUCCUCCUGACCCCCCUACUCCCUAGCUCCGGUAUUAGUUGAGACCAGAUAGGGAGCACAGACUAAUACUCUCACCCUGAAGUAACAAGGCAUU